GACGAACGCUGGCGGCGUGCCUAAUACAUGCAAGUAGAACGCUGAAGGAGGAGCUUGCUUCUCUGGAUGAGUUGCGAACGGGUGAGUAACGCGUAGGUAACCUGCCUGGUAGCGGGGGAUAACUAUUGGAAACGAUAGCUAAUACCGCAUAAGAGUAGAUGUUGCAUGACAUUUGCUUAAAAGGUGCAAUUGCAUCACUACCAGAUGGACCUGCGUUGUAUUAGCUAGUUGGUGGGGUAACGGCUCACCAAGGCGACGAUACAUAGCCGACCUGAGAGGGUGAUCGGCCACACUGGGACUGAGACACGGCCCAGACUCCUACGGGAGGCAGCAGUAGGGAAUCUUCGGCAAUGGACGGAAGUCUGACCGAGCAACGCCGCGGGAGGGAAGAAGGUUUUCGGAUCGUAAAGCUCGGUUGUAAGAGAAGAACGAGUGUGAGAGUGGAAAGUUCACACUGUGACGGUAUCUUACCAGAAAGGGACGGCUAACUACGUG
rnacentral:rRNA from 1 species